rnacentral:lncRNA from 1 species
GCCUGGCAGGGUGAGGAAGACAGGACCAGAGACAGAGCGUGUUGCAGUCGAAGGCACGCAGUCCUGGCAUUGAAAUAGGAUCCAAGCGCUGUGUACUCUUUUGGAGAUUUGCUGUACUCCUUCAGUCAAUAAGAGGACCCACUUAAAAAGCUUGGGAAUGUUAUGGGAGAAAUAUGACUCCCAAUCAGUGAGAUGUCAAAUGUGCAAGCCUGUAGAACACAACAUCAAGGAAUGAAGUCCUGAGCCAAAGGAAGAAUUUAGGAGAGUUUUAUUGGAAAUAAGGACAGAAGAACAGAUCUUGCAUGGGGUGGCCCCUGAG